rnacentral:sRNA from 1 species
UCGCAGCGCCGCGACGUUCUGCCGGGUC